UGGACUGGUCAGUCUAUUCUGUUUACUAUCAUUUAAAAAGUCUAUUUUACUGCCAUACUGCUUGCAUGUCUGAUAUAUUUCCUUGCAUAAGCUAUUUUGCAAAACAUAUUUCCUGCUCAGAUGUCUCUAUAACCCAGAUAUCUCGCUAGGCCGUAACCAAGAGGAACCUCUUCAUAGAAACAGACUUGUGCUAAGACGCCCACAUACGUUCGUGGUUAUGCCACUCUGCACCUGUUUCCUGAAGACGACUGCUGAAUUAAACCGCAUAAGAGACUUUAUACCUUGUUGUUUUCCAUUUGAAGAUAUAUAACCUAGACUUUCGUAGUCUGUAAUUUUCCAUUUGAAGCUAUAUAGCUUAACCGCAAGCUUAGGGGGGUGUCACACCCCCCACUCUGCCUUUAUAAUUUUUUGUACUUUGUAAUAAACUCAGAGUGAGAAAACAUUUGCAUACUGAACAAUCGUGUCAGUGUCAUUUUCUUUCUGCCAGCCGGUUGGAUUUACUUAUCAUAUAAUUUGGAAGGGUCAGAUACUCUUAGGACAUACUUCUGUCCUUAACAUUUUUGGCGCCCAACGUGGGGCACCAGGUUCUGGCUGACCACUAGCCGAUGCCACAGACGACGGACGCCCAGUAGAGGAAAGGACGGAGACUGAUCACCUCCGGGACACAGAUCCCUCUCUACCAAAGGUACUCACAGCCUCAAGCAACGAGAUUGGGUCCUAGUCAAGAAGUUUCUGAGAAAGCACUGUUUGGAGCCCAGAUUUGAUGGCCCCUUCCAAGUUCUCCUUACCACAGCUACUUCAGUGAAUCUAGAAGUAAAACCCACCUGGAUCCAUGCCUCACACAGCAAGAAAGCAGAUGCACCUAAGGAACCAGAUAUUGCUCUAUAUCCUUUACUUACUGCCCCUGGGACUAGGCCAGGAGGUGGCAAUAUGCAGGACUCACACAAUUUUGUCAAUAAGAAUGUAGAUUGGAUUAACUAUAUUUACUAUAACCAACAGCGGUUUGUUAAUUUCACCAGGGAUCCCAUGCGCGGUAUUGCAGAACAGUUAAAUGCUACCUCUCACAUGACCUAUCAGAGACCGCCUAGCUCUAGACAUGUUGUUAGCUGAAAAGGGUGGGGUAUGCAAAGUCCUUGAUAGAUCUUCCACCUGUGGCACUUAUAUCCCUGAUAACACUGGCCCCGAUGGCUCUGUCUCCAUCGCAAUUAAGAAAUUAGAGGAAUUAUCUGAGGAGCUCAAGAGAAACUCAGGCAUCACUGAUCCCUGGGACCAGUUCUCCGAAUGGAGGACUGGUUGGAAAAAAAGUGCUUGUUGAAAUUGGUAUAGUUCUACUCAUUGUUUUAGCUUUCUGUGCUCUCAUAUUUUGCUGCUUCAUUCCCUGUAUUCGCAAACUUUGUCUUGCCCCUCAAUAUACUCCUACCUUUGUCCUCUCCGCACCCACUUUCUACGUCGGCUAUGCCGACGUGAAUGAUACCGAUGAAGAUAACAAUAAUGAAUCUGAUCCUGCCUACAUUAAUGCCCUUCGGUCACUCCCUUACACUCCGACCACAGUACUCUCCCAAUACAUUCCCCUGACCCCACCCACUCCCACCCCCUCCCUCGCUUAGGUUAGGGUCAGUGCUGUUAGUUAAGUUGGAAGGGUUGGUCACUGAUUUUGUGCAGGUCUCUCCAGACCGCGCUGAAGCAUCAUACCCACCAUUAGGGUGUACCCCCUCUGGAGCAACUUGCUAACUUCUAUCUAGGUAAGGACAGCAAAAUAGACGUUUUAGGGGGGAUUGUGGUGGACUGGUCAGUCUAUUCUGUUUACUAUCAUUUAAAAAGUCUAUUUUACUGCCAUACUGCUUGCAUGUCUGAUAUAUUUCCUUGCAUAAGCUAUUUUGCAAAACAUAUUUCCUGCUCAGAUGUCUCUAUAACCCAGAUAUCUCGCUAGGCCGUAACCAAGAGGAACCUCUUCAUAGAAACAGACUUGUGCUAAGACGCCCACAUACGUUCGUGGUUAUGCCACUCUGCACCUGUUUCCUGAAGACGACUGCUGAAUUAAACCGCAUAAGAGACUUUAUACCUUGUUGUUUUCCAUUUGAAGAUAUAUAACCUAGACUUUCGUAGUCUGUAAUUUUCCAUUUGAAGCUAUAUAGCUUAACCGCAAGCUUAGGGGGGUGUCACACCCCCCACUCUGCCUUUAUAAUUUUUUGUACUUUGUAAUAAACUCAGAGUGAGAAAACAUUUGCAUACUGAA